CCUACGGGAGGCAGCAGUGGGGAAUAUUGGACAAUGGGGGCAACCCUGAUCCAGCCAUGCCGCGUGUGUGAAGAAGGCCCUCGGGUUGUAAAGCACUUUCAGUGAGGAAGAACGCCUGGUGGUUAAUACCCAUCAGGAAAGACAUCACUCACAGAAGAAGCACCGGCUAACUCCGUGCCAGCAGCCGCGGUAAUACGGAGGGUGCGAGCGUUAAUCGGAAUUACUGGGCGUAAAGCGCGCGUAGGUGGCUUGAUAAGCCGGUUGUGAAAGCCCCGGGCUCAACCUGGGAACGGCAUCCGGAACUGUCAAGCUAGAGUGCAGGAGAGGAAGGUAGAAUUCCCGGUGUAGCGGGGAAAUGCGUAGAGAUCGGGAGGAAUACCAGUGGCGAAGGCGGCCUUCUGGACUGACACUGACACUGAGGUGCGAAAGCGUGGGUAGCAAACAGGAUUAGAUACCCUUGUAGUC
rnacentral:rRNA from 1 species